UACCCUGGUAGUCCACGCCGUAAACGAUGAGUGCUAAGUGUUUAGGGGGUUUCCGCCCCUUAGUGCUGCAGCUAACGCAUUAAGCACUCCGCCUGGGGGAGUACGGUCGCAAGACUGAAACUCAAAGGAAUUGACGGGGGGCCCGCACAAGCGGUGGAGCAUGUUGGUUUAAUUCGAAGCAACGCGAAGAAACCCUUACCAGGUCUUGACAUCCUCUGACAACCCUAGAGAUAGGGCUUUCCCUUCGGGGACAGAGUGACAGGUGGUGCAUGGUUGUCGUCAGCUGUGUCGUGAGAUGUUGGGUUAAGUCCCGCAACGAGCGCAACCCUUGAUCUUAGUUGCCAGCAUUUAGUUGGGCACUCUAAGGUGACUGCCGGUGACAAACCGGAGGAAAGGGGGGAUG
rnacentral:rRNA from 1 species